rnacentral:lncRNA from 1 species
GGCUGCUGACCAUGGUGUUUUACCCGAUGGUGACUCCUCCUGGGGCCUGUGUCUGCAGAGUGCCUCUCUGCACUGCCAAGCCCUGAGCCUGGCAUACAGAGCGAUGCUUAGGGAACGGUAAUGGAUUCUCUAGCUCCUCUGGGAAUUUAGAUGUCUUAGUAUGUUUCACUUUGGGUCUCAUUUUUGGUGCCACCAGUUUGCUCCUCAGAGCUGGUCCUCGUGUUCCCUGUCUAAAUAAGGAAUGAAGGCUUGCUUCCCUCCUAACUAGGUAGAGUAACUCAGGCCAGUCACUCAGCUCCUGCAGUACACGACUAUGACCACCUGGUGACACUGCUGGGCUACAGCUAAACUUGGCAAGCGGCUCUGAAAGCUGCGCUACCUCUAGGGGGCGCUGGUAGGUGACGUGUCUCAGCAGGAUGUUCCCACCGUAACAGGAUCCCUACCUACCUCUCACAAAGCUGGUCCCUCAGCCCGGAAGCCGCAUGCAUCUGCUGCCCAGCAAACCUUCUCCCAGGCAGCAAGCAGGGGUAGAAGUGCAGGUGAUGAAAGGAAGAAGGUGGACAGGUAGAUGCUUUCUUCACAUUUCCCUUCCUUCUGUGGUCAAUAGGACAAAGCCAAAACCUUUGACAGGAGGGACCGUGGAAGUGGAGAAGCAGUCUGGCUGGGUCACCUAAACUACCCAACAGCCUGGUGAGGCUACAGAGGGUAAGUGGGUGAAGACAGAGGCAGAGACAGAGACAGGGAGAGCAUGGGUGGGGUCUGCUGGAGGGGAGUGUUGGGAGGGUGUGGGAGCAGGGCUUUUAUAAGUACGUGAGUAGGACACCCUUGAUCCCAGGGUCUACUGGUCAAAGAAUUCUUUACAGAGAACCCAGGGCAGAGGAGGGCAGGGGAGGCAGGGGAGGGCAGGAGGAUGCAGGGGGAGGCAGGUGCAGGGCUGCAGCUUACCCAGUGGCUCUUCUCACCAGGGUCUCCUUUGGGGCCAGGUUCUCCCUGAAAGAAGUCAGAGACAGAAGUAAGGAAGGGAAGGGAAGGGGAGGGGAGGGGAGGGGAGGGAAGGGAAGGGAAGGGAAGGGAAGGGAAGGGAAGGGAAGGGAAGGGAAGGGAAGGGAAGGGAAGGGAAGGGGCAGGGCAGAGAGCAGGAGGUAGAGGAGGGGGCCAGUAUUAGGGAGAAAGACUAACAGAAACCUGGGUGUAGAGCAAUUGUCUUGAACACUGGGUUCAGUCCGUGAGGGAGGGCAGAGCAACAAGGAACCCAGGACAACAGUUGGUAGGACUGAGCACAGAUUUCAAGAACUUCUUAUCACAUAGCACAGAGAGCUUGGAAAUACCCAGUGCUUUCUCGUGAAAUUGCAGAAAGCCAGGCCUUAACAGAAAGAACACAGGCCAGGGUUAUGGAGUUUUCCUAGGUCCAAGAACAAAACCAAAAUGGACUUUCUGUAAUAAAGGUAAAUUUCCGAAAGAAUGGGGUGACCCAUCUGUAAUGUAGCUGUCUUGGGGCCCUCAGCACUCCUCAAGAAAAUAACAGAAUGGAGCUCUUCAGACUGCACCCCUCCCAUCCAAUAAAGCAUUUCAGAAAAAGCUGUAUGAAGAAAACAAGAUACAAGAUGAGCACGUAAGAGAAAGAUCAGUCAACAGAAACGCUCAUAGCUAACGUGGUGUUGUAAGUAGGAGACAAGGAAUUUAAACAUCCAUGUCGGGGCUGGAGAGAUGGCUCAGUGCUUAAGAGCACUGGAUGCUCCCACAGGGAACCCAAGUUCAAUUCUCAGCACCCACAUGGAAGACCACAACCAUCUGUAACUCCAGUUUCAGGGAAUCUGACACCCUCUUCCGACCUCUGCAGGCAGCAAGCAGGCUUGCAUGUGGUGCACAGACAUACAUGCAGGCAAAACACUCAUAUGCAUAAAAAGAAGCUGUAAAAAAUUAAUAAAAUAUCUAUGACAGAUAUUCUGGACCAUGAGAUGGUUCAGCAAACCUGGCCAAGUGGGUCCCGGAACCCACAGUGGGAGGAGAGAGCUGAACUGUGCCCUGUCUUUCACACAUGCUCCCAUCACUAAAUACACAAUAACAGUAAAUAAAAUAAAAAAACCUAAACAUUUCCUAAAGAUUAAAAAGCUGUUUUUUAAAGACUAUGAGCACAUGAGUGUAGACUCCAAUAGAGGCCCCAGAGCUGGGGUUGCAGGUGGCUGUGAGCCAUCUAAAAUGGGUACUGGAAACUGAACUCAAGUCCUCAGAGGGAGCAGUUAUGCACUUAACCACUGAGCCAUUUCUUCAGCUCCCUAAAAGAAUGUUUUAAAAGAAUCAGUGGGGGAGGGGGAGGUUAGAGAGAUGGCUCAGUGGUUAAGAGCACUGCCUGCUCUUCCAGAGGUCCUGAGUUCAGUUCCCAGCAACCAC